CGCGGGAUAGAGUAGAGGUUAUCUCGUUGGGCUCAUAACCCAAAGGUCGGAGGUUCGAAUCCUUCUCCCGCUA
rnacentral:tRNA from 1 species